rnacentral:rRNA from 1 species
CCAGACUCCUACGGGAGGCAGCAGUGGGGAAUAUUGGACAAUGGGGGGAACCCUGAUCCAGCGACGCCGCGUGAGUGAAGAAGUAUUUCGGUAUGUAAAGCUCUAUCAGCAGGGAAGAAAAUGACGGUACCUGACUAAGAAGCUCCGGCUAAAUACGUGCCAGCAGCCGCGGUAAUACGUAUGGAGCAAGCGUUAUCCGGAUUUACUGGGUGUAAAGGGAGCGCAGGCGGUCCGGCAAGUCUGAUGUGAAAGGCGGGGGCUCAACCCCCGGACUGCAUUGGAAACUGUCGGGCUGGAGUGUCGGAGGGGCAGGCGGAAUUCCUAGUGUAGCGGUGAAAUGCGUAGAUAUUAGGAGGAACACCGGUGGCGAAGGCGGCCUGCUGGACGACAACUGACGCUGAGGCUCGAAAGCGUGGGGAGCAAACAGGAUUAGAUACCCCAGUAC